GACGGAGGGUGCUAGCGUUGUUCGGAUUUACUGGGCGUAAAGGGCGCGUAGGCGGCCUGGUCAGUCGGGUGUGAAAGCCCGGGGCUCAACCCCGGAACGGCACCCGAGACGGCCAGGCUGGAGACCGGGAGAGGAGGGUGGAAUAGCCAGUGUAGAGGUGAAAUUCGUAGAUAUUGGCUGGAACACCGGUGGCGAAAGCGGCUCUCUGGCCCGGUUCUGACGCUGACGGCGCGAAAGCGUGGGGAGCAAACAG
rnacentral:rRNA from 1 species